CCUACGGGAGGCAGCAGUGGGGAAUCUUGCACAAUGGGGGAAACCCUGAUGCAGCAACGCCGCGUGAAGGAAGACGGUUUUCGGAUUGUACACUUCUGUUCUUAUUGAAGAAUAAUGACGGUAGCUAAGGAGCAAACCACGGCUAACUACGUGCCAGCAGCCGCGGUAAUACGUAGGUGGCAGGCGUUGUCCUGUAUUACUGGGUGUAAAGUGAGCGCAGGCGGGAAGCGAUGUCAGCUGUGAAAGCUACGGGCUUAACUUGUGGACUGCAGAUGAAACUGGUUUACUAGAGUGAAGUAGAGGUUGGCGGAAGUCCGAGUGUAGCAGUGAAAUGCGUAGAUAUGCGGAGGAACACCGGUGGCGAAGGCGGCCAACUGGGCUUUAACUGACGCUGAGGCUCGAAAGUGAGGGGAGCAAAAAGGAUUAGAUACCCCAGUAGUC
rnacentral:rRNA from 1 species